rnacentral:tRNA from 2 species
AGGCUCGUAGCUCAGGUGGUUAGAGCGCACGCCUGAUAAGCGUGAGGUCGGUGGUUCGAGUCCACUCGGGCCUACUA